UAGCGUAUAUUAAAGUUGUUGCAGUUAGAACGCUCGUAGUCGGAUUUCGGGGCGGGCCGAUCGGUCUGCCGAUGGGUACGCACUGGUCGGCGCGUCCUUCCUUCCGGAGACCGUGCCUACUCUUAACUGAGCGGGGGCGGGAGACGGAUCGUUUACUUUGAAAAAAUCAGAGUGUUUCAAGCAGGCAGCUCGCUCUUGCAUGGAUUAGCAUGGGAUAAUGAAAUAGGACUUUGGUGCUAUUUUGUUGGUUUCGAACACCGAAGUAAUGAUUAAAAGGGACAGUCAGGGGCACUCGUAUUCCGCAGAGAGAGGUGAAAUUCUCAGACCCGCGGAAGACGAACCACUGCGAAAGCAUUUG
rnacentral:rRNA from 1 species